GCCCGACUCGCCAAGUCCUCAAGCCUGGCCCAGCUCGGCAGCUCCCAGGCCCUCAGGCUUCUUGCCCGAGUCACAGCAGAGGAUUAGAAGCCAGGCUGCCGCGGUUGCUCACGCCUCCACCCCCCACAGAUGCACCCGGAGCACAGCGCCAGGCACCUAGCAGGUGGCUGGGACCUCCGAAAGAAUCAGUGAGCCAGCCAAUCGCUUUCCAAGUGGGUGCAUUUUCGUGGGGACAGUGUUCCCCGAGGGGACCCUGGUUCUGCAUUUAAGGCAAGAGGUGGUGACAGGUACCUGGUGAGGCCGAGGGAGGGCAGGAUCAGCACCAUGAAGAUCAGGAAUAUGUAGACCUUGGUCAUCAUGAUCCGGUUCUCCCCUGACCUGCGGGAAGUCAUAGAUGGAUAACCUCCACUCCCUGCAGACAGACCCCGAGGGAGGCCAGAGGAAGAUGUGACACUGCCAACACCACCAGGCAGGGCCACUCCCCAGCUGCCCGCCCCCUCGGCUCCACCGGCCCAGCCACAGAUUCCAGGAAUGGCUUCGUGUUUGUUCAUGAUCCUGUCUCUGCCCGUUGUACUUGUUACUGUGAUUACAUAAUGCAGUUAACUUACCACCUUGUCUGAUAAAAUGACAACAACAA